rnacentral:rRNA from 1 species
GACGAACGCUGGCGGCGUGCUUAACACAUGCAAGUCGAACGGAAAGGCCCUGCUUUUGUGGGGUGCUCGAGUGGCGAACGGGUGAGUAACACGUGAGUAACCUGCCCUUGACUUUGGGAUAACUUCAGGAAACUGGGGCUAAUACCGGAUAGGAGCUCCUGCUGCAUGGUGGGGGUGGGAAAGUUUCGGCGGUUGGGGAUGGACGCGCGGCUUAUCAGCUUGUUGGUGGGGUAGUGGCUUACCAAGGCGUUGACGGGUAGCCGGCCUGAGAGGGUGACCGGCCACAUGGGGACUGAGAGACGGCCCAGACUCCUACGGGGGGCAGCAGUGGGGAAUAUUGCACAAUGGGCGGAAGCGUGAUGCAGCGACGCCGCGUGCGGGAUGACGGCCUUCGGGUUAUAAACCGCUUUCGCCUGAGACGAAGCGUGGGUGACGGUAAUGGGUGAAGAAGCACCGGCUAACUACGUG